rnacentral:lncRNA from 1 species
GAAGGCUGGAAUGUUACAGAAUAAGGUGUGUUUAGAGAGGGGUGCUUUCUGUUUAGUGGAUAGCACCUUCUGGCUCUGUCCUCACUGGAGAGGCAGAGGCCCUCCCUUGGGCCUAUUUUAUAAGGACCUUAAUCCCAUUCCUCACUUCCCAAGAGGCCACUUGCUAAAACCAUCAGUUUGGGAGUUAGAAUUUAGACCAUAGCGUAGGGCAUGUUUUUAAAGUUGCUUUCUUGGCCCUGGAAUGGCAAUGCAGUCAUCUGAACUGGUCUUAACCUACCAGGAACGGGCCUAUAUUUUGAAAAUAUUUCUCGUUAAGGGAGUAAAAUAAGUUUUAUGAGUUUUUUUGUUUAAGAAAGGAUUCAUUUAUUUACUCUGAUAUACUUACCCAUUUCUGUGAUGUCAGCCAUGGGUAGUGACCUAACAUUAAUUCAGCAGAUAUCUUUGUCUGCCUUGAUUCCUGCAUUCCCUAGGCUCCACAGCUAUUCACUUGUAUUGAUUCUGUUAACUUUUACACAUUAACUUUGAGCUGUGCCUCCGUCUUUUUAUCAUUUUGUGAGUAAAGAAUUUUAAUUUGCCAACAAAUCCUAAUAUGGACUUUGUCAAGUUGUGAAAUAAAGUGAUUUUUGGUAUGGAAA